UGGGGAAUAUUGGACAAUGGGCGCAAGCCUGAUCCAGCCAUGCCGCGUGAGUGAUGAAGGCCUUAGGGUUGUAAAGCUCUUUCGCCGACGAAGAUAAUGACGGUAGUCGGAGAAGAAGCCCCGGCUAACUUCGUGCCAGCAGCCGCGGUAAUACGAAGGGGGCUAGCGUUGUUCGGAAUCACUGGGCGUAAAGCGCACGUAGGCGGAUUGUUAAGUCAGGGGUGAAAGCCUGGAGCUCAACUCCAGAACUGCCCUUGAUACUGGCAAUCUCGAGUCCGGAAGAGGUAAGUGGAACUGCGAGUGUAGAGGUGAAAUUCGUAGAUAUUCGCAAGAACACCAGUGGCGAAGGCGGCUUACUGGUCCGGUACUGACGCUGAGGUGCGAAAAGCGUGGGGAGCAAAACAGGAUUAGAUACCCUGGUAGUCCACGCCGUAAACGAUGGAGGCUAGCCGUUGGCGAGCAUGCUCGUCAGUGGCGCAGCUAACGCAUUAAGCCUCCCGCCUGGGGAGUACGGUCGCAAGAUUAAAAACUCAAAAGGAAUUGACGGGGUCAUAGCUG
rnacentral:rRNA from 1 species